GUGAAGCUCUGGCUGCCCUCGGAGCCAGCAGAGCCACAGCUUAAGUGGUCUGGACUGCUUUCUGCUCUGGACCCCUGGUUCCCUCCUUGUCAUGGAGGAGGGGUGGUAUUCUUCAUUUUUCUCAGUCCUGAGAAGAACAGAGAAGAACAAUCUUUGCAUCGUCCAUCUGCAGCUGUUUACAGCUAAGGGGGAUGCUGUACCAUCUACUGUGUUCCUGUGAGCAGUAAGAGACCUACUGGCUUUCAUGUCGUUUCCAACACUUGGUGGACCUCCUUGCCCAUCUGGCAGGUGAGCUGAGUUCUUGACACACGUCAGGUACCCGACAACACCUGUAACUCCAGCUCCCGGAGUCUGACCCUUCUCCUGGCCUCCCAGGCACCUGUACUAACAUGCCCAUACCCACAUGCAGACACGACUAAGCAAUUCUGUUUGGAGCUAACUUUUGGGGGCAUCAACGGUGUUUGACUCAAGUUUGAACCCAAGAUCUCCUCAGACAUCCUUCAAACAAGUAUCCUCCGAUGAUUCAGAAACCCCACAAACAGAAAUGUUAGCAAAAGACCUAGGAAAGCUGACCUUCAACCAUAGUGCUAUGAAGCUUUCUUCUCCUUGACCAGAAAAGGACAUCAUCAUCACCACCACCACCAUCAUCAUCAUCU
rnacentral:lncRNA from 1 species